rnacentral:tRNA from 1 species
GGUAAAAUGGCUGAGCAAAGCAUUAGACUGUAAAUCUAAGCACA